rnacentral:rRNA from 1 species
UACGAGGGGGGCAAGCGUUGUUCGGAAUUAUUGGGCGUAAAGGGUGCGUAGGCGGUUUGAUAAGUCAUCUGUGAAAUCUCUGGGCUCAACCCAGAGUCUGCAGGCGAAACUGUCGGGCUUGAGUAUGGGAGAGGUGAGUGGAAUUUCCGGUGGAGCGGUGAAAUGCGUAGAGAUCGGAAAGAACACCAACGGCGAAAGCACUCUGCUGGGCCGACACUGACACUGAGAGACGAAAGCUAGGGGAGCGAAUGGG